rnacentral:tRNA from 1 species
CACGAUGUAGCUCAUUUGGGUAGAGCAUCAGACUUGUAAUCUGAGGGUAGAGGGUUCGAUUCCCUCCAUCACGGCCC